rnacentral:rRNA from 1 species
UACGUAGGGGGCAAGCGUUGUCCGGAAUCAUUGGGCGUAAAGCGCGCGUAGGCGGCCCGGUAAGUCCGCUCUGAAAGUCCAGGGCUCAACCCUGGAAAGCGGGUGGAUACUGCCGGGCUAGAAUCCGGAAGAGGCGAGUGGAAUUCCUGGUGUAGCGGUGGAAUGCGCAGAUAUCAGAAGGAACACCAAUAGCGAAGGCAGCUCGCUGGGACGGUAUUGACGCUAAGGCGCGAAAGCGUGGGGAGCAAACAGG